GUGGGGAAUCUUGCGCAAUGGACGAAAGUCUGACGCAGCAACGCCGCGUGAGUGAAGAAGGCCUGCGGGUCGUAAAGCUCUGUCAAGUGGGACGAAAAACCACAGGGUUAAUAGCCUUGUGGCCUGACGGUACCACUGAAGGAAGCACCGGCUAACUCCGUGCCAGCAGCCGCGGUAAUACGGAGGGUGCAAGCGUUGCUCGGAAUUAUUGGGCGUAAAGGGAAGGUAGGUGGUCUCGUGUGUCUGAGGUGAAAUCCCAGGGCUUAACCCUGGACGUGCCUUGGAAACUACGAGACUAGAGUCCUGGAGAGGGUUGCAGAAUUCCCGGUGUAGCGGUGAAAUGCGUAGAGAUCGGGAGGAAUACCAGAGGCGAAGGCGGCGACCUGGACAGGAACUGACACUAAACUUCGAAAGCGUGGGUAGCAAACAGG
rnacentral:rRNA from 1 species